rnacentral:rRNA from 1 species
UACGGGGGGGGCAGGCGUUGUUCGGAAUUACUGGGCGUAAAGGGCUCGUAGGUGGCCAACUAAGUCAGACGUGAAAUCCCUCAGCUUAACUGGGGAACUGCGUCUGAUACUGGAUGGCUUGAGUUUGGGAGAGGGAUGCGGAAUUCCAGGUGUAGCGGUGAAAUGCGUAGAUAUCUGGAGGAACACCGGUGGCGAAGGCGGCAUCCUGGACCAACACUGACACUGAGGAGCGAAAGCCAGGGGAGCAAACGGG